AGAUGGUUCCAGGGAUUCAGGUAGCUUCGGGGAUGUUGGAUGAAGGUGUUUGAGUGUUUAAAUGGUGUUGAGAUUGACUGAAAGUUGGAACCUAAUACUCUGUUUUUGGAAGGGAGGUGGUGAGUUUGCAGCAACAUUUCAAUGGAUUUCAAGAUUUUUUUGAAAUGAGAGGAACAUGAUCUCAUAUUUAUAGGGAAGGUGAUGAAGUGACUUGGAGGGAGUUUUAGG
rnacentral:lncRNA from 1 species